rnacentral:lncRNA from 1 species
AUAAUCUUCAAGAAAUCUUAAUAAAAUCCUAAAUUAAUUAUAAUCAAAUCUAAAAUCAAAUUCUAAUAAAAUCCUAAUCAAAUCCUAAUAAAAUUCUAUACCAAAAUUUAACCAAAUAUUUAUUAAAUCCUAGUAAAAUCCUAAAUCCUAACUAAAUCCUAGAUAAAUCCUAAAUUCUAAUCAAAUCUUAAAUCAAAUCUUAAAUUAAAUCUUAAGAAAAACUUAACCAAAUCCUAAAUCCUAGACCACUCCAAAUUAAAUAAAAAAAAAAAAAAAAUCUUAAAUAAAUCCUAUUCAAAUCAUAAAUCCUAAUCCUUAAUCAAAUUCUAACUUAAUCUUAGAUCCUAAAUCAAUCCUAAUUAAUCUUUAAUUAAAUCCUAAAUUUUAAAUAAACUCUUAAAAAAUCCUAU